CAGAAUCCGGUUGAUCCUGCCGGACCUGACUGCUAUCGGAUUGAUACUAAGCCAUGCGAGUCAUUGUAGCAAUACAAGGCAUACGGCUCAGUAACGCGUAGUCAACCUAACCUAUGGACGGGAAUAACCUCGGGAAACUGAGAAUAAUGCCCGAUAGAACAUUAUGCCUGGAAUGGUUUAUGUUCCAAAUGAUUUAUCGCCGUAGGAUGGGACUGCGGCCUAUCAGUUUGUUGGUGAGGUAAUGGCCCACCAAGACUAUUACAGGUACGGGCUCUGAGAGGAGUAGCCCGGAGAUGGGUACUGAGACACGGACCCAGGCCCUAUGGGGCGCAGCAGGCGAGAAAACUUUGCAAUGUGCGAAAGCACGACAAGGUUAAUCCGAGUGGUUUCUGCUAAAGAAACCUUUUGUCAGUCCUAGAAACACUGAUGAAUAAGGGGUGGGCAAGUUCUGGUGUCAGCCGCCGCGGUAAAACCAGCACCUCAAGUGGUCAGGAUGAUUAUUGGGCCUAAAGCAUCCGUAGCCGGCUCUGUAAGUUUUCGGUUAAAUCUGUACGCUCAACGUACAGGCUGCCGGGAAUACUGCAGAGCUAGGGAGUGGGAGAGGUAGACGGUACUCGGUAGGAAGGGGUAAAAUCCUUUGAUCUAUUGAUGACCACCUGUGGCGAAGGCGGUCUACCAGAACACGUCCGACGGUGAGGGAUGAAAGCUGGGGGAGCAAACCGGAUUAGAUACCCGGGUAGUCCCAGCUGUAAACUAUGCAAACUCAGUGAUGCAUUGGCUUGUGGCCAAUGCAGUGCUGCAGGGAAGCCGUUAAGUUU
rnacentral:rRNA from 1 species